AGGACAUGUGGGGAUUAUGGGAACUACAAUUCAAGAUGAGAUUUGGGUGGAGACACAAACCAAAUCAUAUAACAGAUGGAAUUUCUAUGAAGCAAUUUAACACCAAUAAGGGACUGUUAUUGAAGGGAUGUUUUUCCUGUUAUUUUAUUAUCCUUUUUUAAAUUAUUGUUGUGGUUACUUGUUUUCUCUGAUAACUAAUACAACGCCAUUGUAUCUGAUUGCUUCUUCCUUAUGAGACACUCACCAAUGCUGGAAAAUCAGUUCAGAAUGUAAUAUUUUGUUAAAACUGUAUCUUCUCUGCAUAAUUUCAGUCUGUUUAUAAUGUAUUGUUCUUAUAUAGUUGACCAAUCAAAGUUAUCUGCAAUAAGCUAUUUCUGUAUGAGAUGAUCUUUGUAUUCUGAAACCACAAGUAACUUUUAAUGAAUUAUUUUACAUCUAGAUAUAAGCCUAUCAUAUACUGAUGGAUGGCAUAGGCUGGGGCAUACAAUGGCUUAAAACAGAAAGAUGUUUUGAGAAGAUAGACUGAACAGAUGACUUUUGUCUUUAUGUCAGCAGCUUCUUUUCUAGGAAGGAAAACAGACCAUGUAGAAUGGAUCAUUGAUUCCACACAAUAUGAAUCAAAAGCAGAAAAAUGCAGUGAUUUAACAUGGUAUCAACCAAUCAAGAAUGAAUAUAGAAUCAACCAUUGAAACUUGGGCCUGACUGCCAGAGCAUCUGAGCUGACUGUACAUUUCUUUACCCCAGCAGAUGGAUCCUGGCUCUGCUGGAGCCAUCCCCCAAGUGCCCUCUCCUGCAUUUCUAUUCUCCACUCCUCACCUCAUUCAUCCCAUUCUCAGAAGAGAGCAGCCUAGGUGAGUAACAUUAGAACCAGAGGGUCCUACACAGGAGGAUCUAAAGCUGAUUGCAGAUAUAUUGAAGGCAUGUGGCUUCUUAUCCCAGGGAAUGCAAUAUCUCCAGGAAUGAUGCCUGCUGCCUUGCAUGAGGACCUCACUCAGCGUGCCUGGAACCUCUUCUAAGAGCAGGAGUGGAAGGCGGAAACUCCCAAGGGAGCUCAGCUUUGCCUGCCUCAGAAACCUAAGCCUUUCCCAGAAAGUGCAGCUCUGCCACCACCUGUGACUCUUGGAGUCACCAGUGGAAGCAGAAGCAGACUGUCUUUUCCUGGGUAAAGCUGUGAGAGAUGCAGCCUAGAGAAGCCCACACCCUCCAGUCCCUGUGCCAGCUCCUUUUGUUUCCAUGAAGCUACUUAAUGAGAUUCUUCAUGCAUAAAAUUAAUUUUUGCCCUCUUCUCUCAGCUUUUACCACUAAAGGAUUUACGUACAGUUCUGUCAGAUUUUAUUUAUACGUGCAAUAAAGGGGACCCAGAUCAUAAUGAAGGCUUUUAUGGGCAAUGAUGGGAGAUACAAAGGGAAGCUGAGAGCAGGCAGUCAUCCAGGCUCCCUUUGGAUGCCAAGAUACAUUAUGCAGGAGAUACCCCCUGCAUAAAUGCACUAGGCCCUCCCUAAUCAGGGCUGUACCUCAAGUCAGAUCCUAAUUUGUUGCUGGGGGAGAGGGGGAGGAACAGGGCUAUUAAUGAACAGCGCAAAUAAUUAGGCUUUAUGGGAAUUUGGUUGUUUUCUUACAUACUAGAUUUGCUCUCAAUCCUUUCUCAAAUGUAUCCUGCUCAACUGCCCCGCAGCCAGCGGCUUACUGCAUUGAUUGCCCACUGGGCAGCUUUCUUGAGCUGGAAUGGGAGCAGGGCUGGACAACAUGCUUGUUUGUAAUAACAGCUCUUGUUCACUGAGAAUCCCCUAAGGCCAGGCUCUGAGCCAGGCACUGUGCUGACAUGAUUUCAUUGAAUCUUCAAAACAGCUGGUAGCAUAGCUAUUGUCAGUCCCACUUUAAAGAUAAGGAAACUAAGGAUCAGAGAGGUUUCAUAGCUGCUUGAGGUCACAUACCAGUCCUUGCAGAAUUAAGCACCCCACUUCUUUAUGUAAAGGGAAAUUUGUUCCCUUCUCUCCACAAAAUUCUAAGUCAUCAACUGUUCUCUAGACUAGAAAGGACAGUAGUGUGGUAUUUAGAACAAACAUCAGACUGGGUACAGGACUUGGCUCCUAUUCCUCCUCCCAUUUUUAUUGCUGAAUGCUGUGUGACCUUGAGCUAAUCACUUCACCUCUCUGACUCACGUUCUUCUGUCGAAAAAUGAGAAUAUGAACUCAAGGAGUCUGUUCAGUUCUGGCAUUUUUAUUCUGGAACACUCUCUUCACAUAGUUAACACAAGAGUGUGUGUAAAGUGCAUAUGUUAGCCCACAGACAGAAACUGCACUCAUUUUUCAGAGCUAAAAUACUUGGAGCUAUGCCACUGCACAGAGAACACUGGGACGGUCUUCGGAUUCCCAAAGCUGUAACUGACUGCCAAGCUGCGGGGGAACAUCAGAGACAUUUUUCUUGCUCACCCUCCUCUUGCCAACAGGAGAGAUUAAGAAUCACAAAGACAACCAAAAUGAAAGUUGCAUGAGAUGGCUGAGGGCUGACAACUGAAGAUGAAGGGCUCAGUGGUACAGGAAACAUAAUUAUGAAAUAUCUUCCUAACGUCUGUGAAAACUCUUCAAUGGGAAAAGAACCAGACAUGUUAUAUAUCUUUUUUUUUGAGACGGCGUUUCACUCUUGUUGCCCAGGCUGGAGUGCAGUGGCGAGAUCUUGGCUUCUUGCCACCUUGCCUUCCGGUUUCAAACUAUUCUCCUGCCUCAGCCUUCCAAGUAGCUGGGAUUACAGGCGCCUGCCCCCACGCCCAUUAUACAUCUUUCUACAAGAUGGAGAGGAAAAAAGAAUGGGAGGAACCAAAGAAACUGGAAUCCAGUGAAGCCCCAGCCUCCCACCCCCUCCCCAAUGCUCCAUGGAGUGAGGUUCCAGCCCAGGACUGAUUCUUAAAAGAAAGACUCGGGAGAAAGCAGAGAAGAAACUUAACACGGCAAGUAACCUUCCCCUAAGCAACUCUUAGCCCAGACAUUAAAUCAGCAGCAGAAAAAAAAAGGUGAAGAAGUAUAGAAAAGGGCAUCUUUGCUCUCUUUAAUUGUUAAGAAAGAAAUAAAAAGAUAGAAAAUAGGUUGCGAUGAACUAACAACUAGACCUGAGUACAACCAAGAAUGAGAUGUGUUCUCUAUGUAUCAUGGCAAUGGGAAGAAGAUACUAAGCAUGACUUAGAGCAUCACACCGCCCAUCCUGUGCCAGAUGAGAGAUGCCAUUUAAGGUGAGGGAGAUGGGAAAAAAGUGCAUACCUUUCCUUUUUAAGUUCUUGCUCAGCCACAAAAUGUGAACUUGGCAGAUAGGGUAAGGGACAGAGGUGCUGUAAGUGUCCAGAUGAAUAAUCAAGGCCAUAACACUAGAAGAAGUCUUUCAUAGCACCAUCGAAAAAUAGCAUCUUCAUUUUCCCCUGCAUGAACUAUCCUAUUUCAACAGUAGAAACAGCAGUAAGGAGAUGAGGUGAGAGUUAUGCAAAAGAGACACACUUGAUAGAAAUAAGAAUAACAAAACAUUGAGCAAUUUCUUGUGACUUACAUGCAGAGAAAAAAUGUUUUCAUGGAAAAAAGCCAGAUGAGGGCCUCCUGGGAAGUAUUGUGAGCUUUUCAUUUGCACUCUCAUUAUUACUUUAAUAGUUUUUCCUGAUUACUGAAAUGAUGGAAGUCCUUUGUAUAAUAUUUAGAAAGUACAUAAAAGCACAGAA